CUACGGGCGGCUCCAGUGAGGAAUAUUGCACAAUGGGGGGAACCCUGAUGCAGCAACGCCGCGUGGAGGAUGACGCAUUUCGGUGUGUAAACUCCUUUUAUAUGUCAAGAAAAUGACGGUAGCAUAUGAAUAAGCACCGGCUAACUCCGUGCCAGCAGCCGCAGGUAAUACGGAGGGUGCAAGCGUUACUCGGAAUCACUGGGCGUAAAGGACGCGUAGGCGGGUUGGAAAGUCAGGUGUGAAAUCCUACAGCUUAACUGUAGAACUGCACUUGAAACUUCUAAUCUAGAGUAUGGGAGGGGGAGAUGGAAUUAGUGGUGUAGGGGUAAAAUCCGUAGAUAUCACUAGGAAUACCUAAAGCGAAGGCGAUCUCCUGGAACAUUACUGACGCUAAGGCGUGAAAGCGUGGGGAGCAAACAGGAUUAGAUACCCUCGUAGUC
rnacentral:rRNA from 1 species